UAUCAACACAACAUGCGCGAUCACCGGCGAUGCAAAAUGAAAAGCCAAAAUGAUUGAGUUAUGUCAUCAGAUAUGAUCACUCCUACACCACUGAGGAAGCAAGGAGCUGCAUUAAACUAAAUCUAAAUAUUUGUGCCUUAUUGUAUUAGCCAUAUAAAAAAUUUAGGUGCCAAGUGGCGUAACGUGCCAACGAGUCAUUAACUAAGUGGACUAAUUAAAUGAAAUGAACAAGUCUUCUGUACUUUCUCCAUCACCGAAUAAGUUCCUAGUUUCUUCAACUGAUCGACGCAUAAAAGAUUUCACAGUUUUUGUUGGCAACUUUCCAAAGACAAGUACUCAGAAAGAUCUUCAUGACCUGUUCGCGGGCUGUGGUGCCAUCGAGCGUGUCGCAAUUUUGGAUCCCCCACUGCGACGGCAUG